ACCGAGACCGUCUGCGGGACAACUACGUCUGCCCCUAGUGAAGUACUCCAGAGACUCGUGCUUCGGUGGAGCGACCACCGACAAGCAAAACAGACUAGUGAGUAUAAUCCAAUCCUCUCAAGAGGAUACCCUGUCUACUAGGGUCAAUGUGCCUCUGCUGCACAGUCAUGAUAUAUAAUCAAUGUUGGGACUUCUACUAUCCCUAGGCUCAUGUCAAGUUUACUACACUAGACUCGAUGCCACUCGUUCGAUCAUUGUAGUAAGUUUUCUACUAAUUGACAUGCCACUCGUUCAGGUUUAGUGUCUCUACUACACUAGUUCAGUGCCACUCUACUAGGCUAUGUCCAAGUUCUGCUCUUUAUGCCGCUAUAGGAUUCUAUGCCACAAGACCCAAUCCUCAUGCUAUCCUAGUCCACGUGUCAAGCUCACCCCGCUACACUACCAAGAAAGCAUGCAAGGAAAUGGAAAUGUACAACUACUAUUCCUAUAGCACAAUAUGAUCAAUAUAAUUAACUUAGACAUAAAAAGAAACCGGAUGUUUCGGGACGACACCCCCCACCUCUU
rnacentral:lncRNA from 1 species